CUAAACUUUCCUGCCAGGCUGGGCAAUACCGGGCUCCGGAGUGUAUUGACAACCACCCUGUAUUAUUGGAAUUUCUGACUUUUUUUCAAAAAGGAUAAUAAAGGAUGUACAGCUUCAUGGGCAGAGGGUUGUACUGCGCUGGAGUUGGCUCAGCUCAUUUUAUUUGAGCAGCGUACUGGGAUGCCACCCAUGCCUUCAUGAUCCUCUCCCUGCUGGCCUACUUCAUUGGCAUCGUGAUCGGCGUCAUGGCUUUCAAACGCUCCUCCUCCUUCAGUGGUUUUGACAAGACGUUUGCUGGCCGUCAUCCUCUUCUUCAUCUAACCACUAGGCAGGUAGCCAAGGGGUUAGAGUGUUGGAUUUAGUGACGGGAAGGUUGCAAGAUCGAAUCCCUGAACUGACAAGCUGUUUUUCAGUCUUUCGGUCCCAGCUUUGAUGCACCUGUACUGACCUCACCUUCUGGAUGAUAGUGGGGUGAACAGGCAGUGGCUCGGGUGGUUGUUGUCCUUGAUCUUUUUGGCCUUCCUGUGACAUCGGGUGAUGUAUCUUUUACGUGUGCCUAUAGGAUGCAUGAAUGCCCGAGAAAUGACAACUCCUGCUAAUUUGACAUAAAAAUAAAAAAAAACAGCUGAGACCGGGGUUUAGGCACCUACGUAAUUUCCUGUUUACCUGACCUCUAUUGAAUAAGAGUUAAUUAAAUUGUCUGUCUCUCAAGUGGUAUUCAUCGGUCUGAUAAGAAUAUAAACCACAGUUAAGAUUAUGUUCAGUUAUAAGUUAGAACAUUUCUUUAAAGCUGCAUUCUAACUUUUUGGUUGACCAGACCAAAUUCACAUAGAAAUGUAAGUAAUAGAUCAGUCACUCAAUAAAAGCACAUCUAAGCGGUAAAUGUUCUAUUUGCACCCUUUCUAUGCUUCCCAUUCUUAAGUUUAAUUUUUGCAUCUUUUACAUUUCGGUUUUGUACACCAGCUUUGAAAAGCUGAGUAUACAAUAUUUUUGGUUAUGUACAUAUAUUUCAGCUGUUUAGAUGGUACAACGAUUCUCUCUCUACACUAGGAAAUGGCAAGUGAUUUCUGCAUAGCACAGCUUUAACAUUAAAUGAUAAACCAUGAUGGUCAUCAAGACUGUCAUAGGUGUCAAAAUUAAAGGAGGAUCUGGAAGUGUGAAUUCAAGAGAUUCUUUAUUUUUUUUUAAUCGUUUUUUUAAGCCAACAGUGCAGUACAAAGGCAAAAACAUUUUGCAGUCACAGAAUUCCACUUGUGAAAAACAUGCUCUGUAUACAGUAGUAACCAUUCACUGGUUGAACUGAAAACGUUUAACAAUAGGUAGAACA